rnacentral:rRNA from 1 species
AACGAACGCUGGCGGCAUGCCUAACACAUGCAAGUCGAACGAGACCUUCGGGUCUAGUGGCGCACGGGUGCGUAACGCGUGGGAACCUGCCCUUAGGUUCGGAAUAACUCCCCGAAAGGGGUGCUAAUACCGGAUAAUGUCUUCGGACCAAAGAUUUAUCGCCUUUGGAUGGGCCCGCGUUGGAUUAGCUAGUUGGUAGGGUAAAAGCCUACCAAGGCGACGAUCCAUAGCUGGUCUGAGAGGAUGAUCAGCCACACUGGGACUGAGACACGGCCCAGACUCCUACGGGAGGCAGCGGUGGGGAAUAUUGGACAAGGGGCGAAAGCCUGAUCCAGCAAUGCCGCGUGAGUGAUGAAGGCCUUAGGGUUGUAAAGCUCUUUUACCCGGGAUGAUAAUGACAGUACCGGGAGAAUAAGCUCCGGCUAACUCCGUG